GCUUCAAUAGCUCAGCUGGAUAGAGCAACCGCCUUCUAAGCGGUAGGUCAGGGGUUCGAGUCCCUUUUGGAGCGCCA
rnacentral:tRNA from 1 species